CGAGAUUCAAGCGCAUCAUCAGGUUAUCCACGGCAUCUUCUUCCAAGCUGCUCAGAGAGUUUGAUGAUGAUGACUCUUGCCUAGAUGAGUUCUGCAAAAAUUGAAUGGAUCUUCGGAGAGGAGAGGAGGAAGGAAGGAAUAUUCUGAGGUGACGUGACCAGUGAAUGCCACUGAAGAAGAUGGAAGCAAAAGCUGCUACACUGGAGACGGAAGUCGCUGGCCUCAGGACGGCGAAGCACGCAAUGCAACUCACAGCAGAGGAGAAUCAUGAGAAGCUAGUAGUGUUGUUGUCCAAAAACAACAGUGAUUCGAAUGGAGAGAGUUCCCCAAUGAAGUUGUCUGCGAUCUUACAUGGGGACACCUUGGACGAAUUCCGAAAAUCAGUGAAGAAAGUAGAGCUACCGAUGUUUGCCGCGAGGAUCCAGCCGGGUGGAUCAUUUGUGUGGAGGUUUACUUUUAAGUCCAAGGCACGCACCCAAAUGUGAAGGUGAGCUAGGCCAGCUGUUCCUGGAUGGAUCUACGAUCCAUUUUUUCAAGUCCCUCCUCGAUGAAUACCCAAGUCUGACAUGGGAGAAGCUCAAGAGCGAGUUGUUGGAAUGAUACGGAGGCAUUGAUGAGGGUGACGAUUUAGAAAGGCUGGCCGUUAUCCGCCAAGACGGCAUGGUGGACAAGUACAUUUUGGAGUUUGAGACGCUCACUGCUCAGGAGUCACGAUUGCCUAAUGACCAGUUUUUUGGGUACUUCGUGCACGGAUUGAAGGAUGGGAUCAGAGGGCGUGUGCGUAGCCUACACACUUUGGGACCACUUUUCCAAUCAAGGAUGAUGAAAUCAGGCAAUAGCAGUGGAGUUAGAGCGUGGAUGGAAUGGACCUCACGACCCAGUGCGAAGCAGUGUUGGGGUAAGCUCAGGCAACCGGGUCGGCCCAACACAAACUAACAUGUUUUACCGACCCUGUUAGGAGCAAAACCAGAAAUAGGAACAGAGACACUAGCAUUCGAGGCCUAGUGCUACCUCCAGAAUCAAAUAGAAAGAAGAGAAUGAUAUUUCAUAACUUGUCUGCCUUCUUACAAUACUUAGUAACUAUGUAUAUAGGCACGAUUGAGGCACUCUGAUCCUCAAUUCUUAGCAACGACAGAAUGAUAACAAAAUACUAACAAAUAACAGAAUUGUAAUGACAAGGGAAACAAAUAACAGAAAUUGCAAUGACAAGGAAAUCAUGGCAGACAACUUUUUAAAAUGCCCACUACUUUCAGCCAGUUCAGCACUUUCCGUUAUCAGCUACACAUAGUCCUUGAAGUGCUUUGGUGGAGCUGUUUUCCUUUUGGGCCUUAGCAGGCCUGUUUCUUCCUUCUGCAAGUCCUUCUUGCUAUCAGACUGGGUCGGGGAUCUGGGUCCGGUUGGUCAAUUUAGAACCAACCGCAAGGGGAACACCUGGAAUAGGUUUAGACCCGAAUCUCAGGGCGACCAACACUGUGUGGGGCCCAGGGACAAGGGUGUGCGACUCCUUUCGUACCAGGAGCUGGCAGAACGAAAACGUAAGUGUUUGUGCUAUAAGUGUGGAGGUCCAUUUCACCCUAACCAGCAAUGCCCCGAUCAACAGAUGAGGGUGAUGCUGGUGGAGGAUGAAGACGAAGAGGAAGGUGAGGCGAAUGCAAUGGUUGAAGCAAAACACCAGGACGGUGAAUGUAGCAUGUUGUUCUUGGGAACAACUAUGGUGGUGAACGAGCAGAAACCCCAAACACUGAAGGUAAGGGCUCACAUCAAUGGAGUCCAUGUCUUAGUCUUGGUGAACAGUGGGGCAACCCACAAUUUCAUUUCUAGGAAGCUGGUGAGCACAAUGGCUUUGGCCAGUUGCUAGAACGAAGCCCAUGAACAUCAGAUUGGGGGAUGGGUACACUGCACACGAGGUGUUUAAGGAACCUCGUGGGUUGCCACCUAAAACGAGCAAGGAAAAUGCCAUUAAUUUGUUGGAAGAAGCAGGACCAGUGAAUGUGAGGUCAUACAGGUAUCCUCACCACCAUAAGAAUGAAAUUGAGAAGCCGGUGAAAGGAAUUACUUCAGUCAGGGGUGAUUCGGCCUAGUCAAAGUGCCUUCUCCUGCCCUGUAAUUUUAGGACAACUCAUGGCACAUGUGUUUCGGUUACAGGGUUCUCAACAAAGUGAUGGUACCAGAUAAAUUUCCAAUCCCCAUCAUUGAGGAGUUGUUGGAUGAGCUGCAUGGGGCAUUGUUCUUCUCCAAACUUGACCUCAAAUCCGGUCAUCAUAAGGUGGAGUAAAGGAGAGUGAUAUACAUAAAACUGUUUUUCGCACACAUGAGGCCCUCUACGAGUACAUGCUAAUGCCUUUUGGUAUCAUGAAUGCUCCCUCUAAAUUUCGGUCUUUAAUGAAUGAAAUUUUCCUCCCCAUGUUGAGAAGGACAAUGCUAGCAUUUUUUGAUGAUAUACUAGUGUAUAUUUCUAGUUGGGAGGUCCAUAUGAUUCACUUGAGAGAUGUGCUGGAAAUUUUGUAGCAAUAUCAACUUGUUGCAAAUUUUAAGAAAUGUGCUUUUGCCCAAAGGAAGGUUGAGUACUUGGGACGUAUAAUUUCCAGCAAAGGUGUGGCGGUGGACCCUGCUAAGGUGAAAAGUGUCAUGGAGUGGCCUGAGCCUAAGAAUGUCAAAGGGGUGCAAGGGUUCCUUGGUUUGACUGGGUAUUAUAGGAAGUUUAUAAGAGACUAUGGGCAGAGAGCUAAACCUCUUACUGAAUUGACAAAGAGAGAAGGUUUUAAAUGGAACUCACAAGAAGCAUUUGUGUGGCUUAAACAGCAACUGACUUCUGCUCCUGUGUUGGCCCUACCAGAUUUUCAACAGGAAUUUGUCAUUGAAAGUGAUACGUGUGGUCAGGAAUAGGGGCCAUUCUUACUCAAAACGGUAGACCUAUAGCCUAUUUCAGCAAGGCACUAGAUGAAAGGAGCUUGGCUAAGUCAGCUUAUGUGAAAGAGCUGAUGGCUGUUGCUCUAGCCAUCCAACACUGGCCAUCCUACUUGUUGGGGAGGAGGUUCAGGAUUUGCACAGACCAGAAGAGCUUGAAAUAGUUGUUGCUGCAGCAGAUAACCACCAUGGAUCAACAGAAUUGGGCCGCUAAGUUAUUGGGAUAUCAAUUCGACAUCGAAUACAAGUCGGGAUUGGAAAAUUGAGGAGCUGAUGCUCAGUCCAGAAUGUAUGGGGAAGCUGAGUUGCGAUCCUUAAUUCAUCAACCCUAAUGGGAGGAAAUUGAAGAAGUGAGGAGGGAGGUCCAUAGUGAUGUGAAGUUGUUGUGCAUCAUCUCUGACCUCCAACAGGGUAAGAACACUAGACCUGGAUUCGUGUAUAAACAUGAUACACUGUUUUAUGAAGGAUGGUUAGUGUUGUCAUCUACCUCAGCUUGCAUUCCUAAGAUGCUCAAGGAGUUCCAUUAAACUUCCCAAGGAAGGCACUCAGGUUACGAUAGGACUUAAAGAAGAUUGGCAACCAAUCUGUUUUGGUUUGGGAUGAAGAGAAGUGUACAGAAAUUUGUGAUGGCAUGUGAUGUUUGUCAAUGCCAGAAGUACUUAGCUGCUGCUCCAGGAGGGUCGCUUCAGCCAUUGAAUAUUCCAGAACAAAUCUGGGAGGAUAUAUCAAUGGAUUUCUUCACCAGACUCUCAAAAUCUUAAAGGGUAUGAGGCCAUUUUGGUGGUAGUGGAUAGAUUGUCUAAAUACGGCCAUUUCAUCCCUUUGAACCACCCUUACUCGGCGCAGAUGUUUGCUGAAAGAUUUAUCCGGGAGGUGGUGAGGCUGCAUGGUGUUCCAGCAUCAAUUAUUAGUGACCGGGACCCUAUCUUUGUUAAUUUAUUUUGGAAGGAGUUGUUUAAGCUUCAAGGCACUCAGUUGAAGAUGAGCACGGCAUAUUAUCCCCAAAUGGAUGGUCGUACAGAGGUUGUUAACCGUUGUGAGGAGUCAUUUCUUAGGUGCUUUGUGGCUGAUCAGCCCAAGAUGUGGGUGAAUUGGCUGUCGUGAGCAGAGUAUUGGUACAAUACCAAUUUCCAUGGGUCCAUGGGAACUACUCCUUUUGAGGUGGUCUAUGGCAGGAAGCCACCAGUGUUGAGUAGAUUUCUGCCAUGUGAAGUGAGGGUAGAAGCAGUUCGAAGGGAGCUGCUGGACUGGGAUGAGGCCAUCAAACAGUUAAAAUAUCACUUACAACGGGCUCAGAAUCGCAUGAAGGACCAAGCUGACAGAAAGAGGAUUGAUAGGCAGUUUGAAGUGGGGGAAUGGGUUUUCUUGAAGCUUCACCCACAUGGUCAGUCAACUGUAGGAGCCCGCAUUAAUCCUCCACGAUAUUAUGGCCUUUUAAGGUACUGCAGAGGGUUGGGGCUGUAUCUUAUAAAUUAUAGCAGUGUUGUCAAUAGUGGAUUGUGGAAAAUUGCGAGAAGCUGAAAAUCCCCUGUAGAAUAUAGCAUAUACAACUAAAGAGCGGAAGUCGCAUAGCGGCUGAAAUAGAAUAUAUAAUUAAAUAUGUAUAAAAAAAAAACCAUGCUAUAUGCAAAUAAAAAUAAGCUGGACUAACAUUAACAUAAUAUUAUCUCAAAAGUUAAAUUGUUCACCACAAAAUAUGUUCAUUCUCCUCUGCCCCUUCCUCAAUAUAAUAAAAAAAAAAUAAUAAUCUAAAAACAGCUAAAAAGCAAAUUAGCCAAACAAGUCCUAGUGAGGCACAUAAUCAAAAUAAGCUAAAAGCAGAGGAGGGAAGGAUUGAAGGGUUUACGUGGUGACUAAGAAUCAGAGGAGGGAAGGAUUGAAGGGUUUACAUUGUGACUGAGAAUCAGGGGAGGAAAGGGUUUACAUGGUGACUAUAGAAUGAUCCUGAAAAACUGAAAAGUUACAUGAAGUAGAAGUGGAAAUGCUAAGAGGUUCUAGAAUGGUUUGGAAAACUGAAAAGUUGCGUUAAGUAAACAGAAUAGAGUAAAAUGCUACUAUUGGGCCUAUUGGAAGAAAACUCAAGUCCAUAAAUAAAAAGUAAAAAAAAAAAAA